rnacentral:lncRNA from 1 species
UGCUCGCGCGCGUGUUUCUUCUCGUGGCUUUCCUGACGGUCUUUUUACGGACGUGGUGUUCUGAUUUCUAGGAAUGCAUUUGUUCCUCCGGCUUCCUCCCUUCAAAAGUCUGCAGCCUUUGAUUGUGGCCUGACUUUUAGGGGUCUGUGGCAUUUGGAAGCAGGGGGGAAGGGGGAUAGUAAAUCUUAUUAAUUCUCCUCUUCGGCUUCUCGCAACUUCUCCAAACAUUUUCCAAAAGCGGGAGCAAUUUCCUCGCCGACUGUAGAUGAAAGGGAUUGUUUCAGAGACCCUCUCCCCCGCCCCCCCCCCCCAGGGCCCCAGGUUUGUCCGAUGAUGUCAUAGAGGUAACCAAGGUAACACGCUGUGACAUCACAACCCAAAGGCUACUGACCUUGGCCUGGAAUUCAAAGGAAAAGUAGCCCAUAAACUUCUAAAGCAGGCAGGAGAUAAAUAUCCUUAGUCAUAAAAGAACAAACGAAGUUUGGGGUGGGGGGGGGGUGCUGGGAAAAAAAAAUAGAACUUUUUUUUUUUGUUUUGUUUUAAAGAAAUACAGUAAAACAGUCUGCCAAAUAUUCCAGGAAGCGCCAGUGGCCAUUUUGAUGAUGUGAACUAGACUUUAAAACAGAAAGAGGAAAAAUGAACACGAUUUGGCACAUCUGGGGAAGUCCUCCCUGUUCUCCCAGACCCCAGGAAAAAUUCAGAUCUUUACUCCCGUGCCCAUGACACGUCCUGUACUUCUCUGCCACGAAGCUCACUGCCCCGAAACGUACCUGCGGCAUCGUUAACGUUUGUGUGCCACGCUCGAAGUCUCCAGCCCCACGAGGGUCGAGACCUCACCUGUCUCCUCCGGGGCUGCGUCCAAAUACCGAUGGAAAGGAUGGGGAAGCUCGCGAGGAAGAUCCGAGCCGAGCGAAAGGAUCAGUGCACACCCAGAUGAAGAGGAAGAGAGAAGAACCCAGAAGUCGGUAGCCUCCGAGAGGCCCUAGAAAGAGUCCUUCUCCUGCUGCCUGUCCCAGCUACAGCUACUCGGAUUCCAGGCAAAGGUGAAGGGCCAGACAUUCUCCAGGGCUCCCAUUACGAAGCCAAUAUGUAUUUUGUGUCCCAUAUGUUUAUGUUUUUCCCUUUGAAGGCUCCCUGGAAAAGGCUAACAGUCAUGGAAGUAACAAACACUUUGUCUUCUCUUCUCUUGCCAAAAGCAAUCUUUAAUCACCCCACCAAGU